GGGCUUAUAGUUUAAUUGGUUGAAACGUACCAUCGAUGAUUAUUCGAUUGUACGUUCGAGCCCUACUAAGCCUA
rnacentral:tRNA from 1 species